AGAGUUUGAUCCUGGCUCAGGAUGAACGCUGGCGGCGUGCUUAACACAUGCAAGUCGAACGGAAAGGCCUGUACUUGUACAGGUACUCGAGUGGCGAACGGGUGAGUAACACGUGGGUGAUCUGCCCUGCACUAUGGGAUAAGCUUGGGAAACUGGGUCUAAUACCAUAUAGGACCACUUCUUGGAUGUUGUGGUGGAAAGCUUUUGCGGUGUGGGAUGAGCCUGCGGCCUAUCAGCUUGUUGGUGGGGUAAUGGCCUACCAAGGCGGCGACGGGUAUCCGGCCUGAGAGGGUGUACGGACACAUUGGGACUGAGAUACGGCCCAGACUCCUACGGGAGGCAGCAGUGGGGAAUAUUGCACAAUGGGCGCAAGCCUGAUGCAGCGACGCCGCGUGGGGGAUGACGGCCUUCGGGUUGUAAACUCCUUUCGCUAUCGACGAAGCCACUUGUGGUGACGGUAGGUAGAUAAGAAGCACCGGCUAACUACGUG
rnacentral:rRNA from 1 species